GACGAACCGUGCGAACGUUAUUCGGAAUCACUGGGCUUAAAGGGCGCGUAGGCGGGUUCUCAAGUCAGGGGUGAAAUCCCGCGGCUCAACCGUGGAAGUGCCUUUGAUACUGGGGACCUCGAGGGAGGUAGGGGCGUGCGGAACUUCCGGUGGAGCGGUGAAAUGCGUAGAUAUCGGAAGGAACACCGGUGGCGAAAGCGGCGCGCUGGACCUCUUCUGACGCUGAGGCGCGAAAGCCAGGGGAGCGAACGGG
rnacentral:rRNA from 1 species